GUGUCAGCCGCCGCGGUAAUACGAAGGAUUCGAGCGUUAUCCGGAUUUAUUGGGUUUAAAGGGUGCGUAGGCGGACUGAUAAGUCAGUGGUGAAAGCCUGUUGCUUAACAACAGAACUGCCAUUGAUACUGCCAGUCUUGAGUACAGUUGAGGUAGGCGGAAUGUGUCAUGUAGUGGUGAAAUACUUAGAUAUGACACAGAACACCGAUUGCGAAGGCAGCUUGCUAAACUGUAACUGACGCUGAGGCACGAAAGCAUGGGGAGCAAACAGGAUUAGAAACCCCCGUAGUCC
rnacentral:rRNA from 1 species